AUUGAACGCUGGCGGCAGGCUUAACACAUGCAAGUCGAGCGGAGAGAGGUAGCUUGCUACUGAUCUUAGCGGCGGACGGGUGAGUAAUGCUUAGGAAUCUGCCUAUUAGUGGGGGACAACAUUUCGAAAGGAAUGCUAAUACCGCAUACGUCCUACGGGAGAAAGCAGGGGAUCUUCGGACCUUGCGCUAAUAGAUGAGCCUAAGUCGGAUUAGCUAGUUGGUGGGGUAAAGGCCUACCAAGGCGACGAUCUGUAGCGGGUCUGAGAGGAUGAUCCGCCACACUGGGCCUGAGAAACGGCCCAGACUCCUACGGGAGGCAGCAGUGGGGAAUAUUGGACAAUGGGCGCAAGCCUGAUCCAGCCAUGCCGCGUGUGUGAAGAAGGCCUUAUGGUUGUAAAGCACUUUAAGCGAGGAGGAGGCUACUUUAGUUAAUACCUAGAGAUAGUGGACGUUACUCGCAGAAUAAGCACCGGCUAACUCUGUGCCAGCCGCCGCAGUAA
rnacentral:rRNA from 1 species